CUGGGCAGGCAGGCAGCCCCCCAAGAGCACAGGUGAGGCUGCGGAACUCCACCCCAGCUGUCACUAGUGGCGGGGAGCAGUGCCAGAGCUGCUCCCGGGACAGCGCCAGCCGUGACGGUCAGGGCCGGCCUCGGGCUCAGGGGCCAGGGCUCACCGGACAUGGCCUGCGACCCCUUCCCCUCGGGGUCCCGGCCCCUGACCUGUAAAGAUACGACUAGCCUUGCUGGGGCGUCAAGGGGACAGACAGGGGGAGGCGAUGAUAGCCGGAAAACGGGUGGCCCCCACUCCUCUCCACAGACCCACCUGGUGGCCGAGAGCUGGGGCACCCCCCGCCCCCCCAGACCCCCCCAGGACCCCAGGCCCUUCCUGCUGGGAGUCCACAGCUGGGGCCAAGGAUGGGGCGGGAGGGAGGCGGGGCGGGGCAGCCCCAGAAGGAUCCCCCGCCCAGACUUUGGCUCCCACCCCACUCCCUCCGCUUCCCAGGGCUCCUGGCGGCAGGGACAGCAGGGGAGCGGGGCUGGGCCAGGGUCUGAGGUCGAGGGGAGCGCCCUGGACCCCGCGGUAGGCAGGCAGGAGGGCCCCCGCCCCCGCUGGGCCUGCUGGUCCCCAGGGCCCCAUAUCCAAAGGCAGCCAGACUCCGGAGGUGGGGGGGCAGACGAGGGGGCCGGGAGGGGGCAGGAGGGGCGGGCACAGGGCCAGCCCGGAGACAGUCCGAGGCACCAAGGCCCAGCCUGGCAGGCGGCGGGGUAGGGGGUCGGGGGGACGGCCCGGGGCCUCCCCCGUCUCUGGCCUGUCUGCCCACCGCCCACUACAGGCUGGGAGGGGGAUUCCAGGCCCCUUCCCCUGCUGCGGGGGGUGCUCUUUGUACAGAAACGGCCUGGCCCCCUCUGGGCUGCCCCCCAACCGAAGCAGCGCCCCCCCAGAUUGCCCCAGGGCUCCAGAGAGCUGCCCAGGCUUACCCAGAGCCCCCUGCGAGCCCGCCCUCUGCUCCUCCUGUCCUGUCGUUUCCUCCGCAAGGAAGCCGGGGAGGCCAGCGGCCGCCCGCCAACCCAUCCCACCCAGGCCCGGGCCCCAAGGCCCCGCAGAAGCGCUGAGGAAGUGGGAACCCCACCAGAGGGAGGGGCUGUUCCUGCCCCUGAGGGCCAGGGUCACUGU
rnacentral:lncRNA from 1 species